GUGUCAGCCGCCGCGGUAAUACGUAGGGUGCAAGCGUUAAUCGGAAUUACUGGGCGUAAAGCGUGCGCAGGCGGUUUUGUAAGUCAGAUGUGAAAUCCCCGGGCUCAACCUGGGAACUGCAUUUGAGACUGCAAGGCUAGAGUGUGUCAUAGGGGGGUAGAAUUCCCGGUGUAGCAGUGAAAUGCGUAGAGAUCGGGAGGAACAUCCGUGGCGAAGGCGGCCAUCUGGACCAGCACUGACACUGAGGCACGAAAGCGUGGGGAGCAAACAGGAUUAGAUACCCUGGUAGUCCACGCCCUAAACGAUGCGAACUGGAUGUUGGGAGCAACUAGGCUCUCAGUAUCGAAGCUAACGCGUUAAGUUCGCCGCCUGGGGAGUACGGUCGCAAGACUGAA
rnacentral:rRNA from 1 species